rnacentral:misc_RNA from 1 species
UCUGUAUUAGACUUACAAAUUAUAUAGAAUAGAAGAUGCUCAAUACAUAAGAAAAAGCUUUAUUGUGCAUAGAGAGAUUCUGUCCUACCAAAGGCAAGGAUGGUCCUUGUGCAUGAAGAAUCAGAAUCCCUGUCCUUUUUCGUACCACUCAAUUUAUUCUCUCAAAUAUUAAAAGAAAUAAACGACCCUCUAUGAAAAAAAACAGAUUCUUUGACUAUGAUUUUAGCUCUUUUGGCUGCCCUUGAUCAUGUGGAGUCCAUUACUACCAUUUGUCUUUCUUGAAAAAACAAGGUGGACACCAGGAUCAUGGUGAGUGCAAGA